UCAAACUUGGUCAUUUAGAGGAAGUAAAAGUCGUAACAAGGUUUCCGUAGGUGAACCUGCGGAAGGAUCAUUACCGAGUGCGGGCCCCUCGCGGGUCCAACCUCCCACCCGUGUCUCUUGAAUACCCUGUUGCUUUGGCGGGCCCACCGGGACACCCCCGGUCGCCGGGGGGCACUGCGCCCCCGGGCCCGCGCCCGCCAGAGCGCCGAUGAACCCGAAUGAAGAAGGACUGUCUGAGUCUACGAUAUAAUUAUCAAAACUUUCAACAAUGGAUCUCUUGGUUCCGGCAUCAAUGAAGAACGCAGC
rnacentral:misc_RNA from 1 species